rnacentral:lncRNA from 1 species
GGAUGUUAAGAGAAGGGGUUGUUUAAGAUAAAAGAUAAAUUCUAUAUUGAUGUAAGUUAAAUUUAAAAUACUGAUGGACUAUCCAAGGUGAAGAUGUCAAGUAGGUAUUUGGGGAAAUAGCAAUCAAGUGCAAGAGACAGGGAAUUUUCUUUUGGAACAAUGAGAAUUCUCCAAGCUUCCUCAACAGACAACUGGAAGUGGCAGCAAAGAGGCAGUGGAAAAGCAGCAGAAUGGCAGUAGAAUGGCAACAGCUGCACUGGGAUCAGAGGCUGCACUGGGAUCAGGGGCUGUGCUUAGAUCGUGCUGAGUCAUUGCUGGUGUUGGACGGAGUGACAGCGCGGAGGAGGAUUACGUGUGCCAACUGCUGGAUUUCCCAAGUUUGCCUGCCCUUGCCUAGGUGCGAGCUGAGGUGUGUGAGUGUCGGGGACUGAUGGGUUUGGGGAGGCCUCAGCCCGGACGGCCCUCCGCGAUCUGGGUCUGAAAACACGAGCCCCCGUCUCUUAGGAGGCGCGGGAAGGAAGGUACAUGAUAACUUCUGUAAAGAAAGAUGGGAUCAGACUUAUGUUGAAAAAGGAAGCUGGUAAAAUUCUCUGCUAGUGAUUCAUGUACCACUAUGAAGCAUUUGAGUCAAUGGUUAUGGAUCUCAAUCGACUCCACCAUUUUCCAGGUCUCAGAACGGCUAGCGAUUGGAUGAACAUUCUUUGAUGUAACUGUUCUAUUAAUUCAUUAUAUUAGUGGUGUAAAACUUUCUGGUUCUUGUUUGAUCCAACUUUUAUUUUCAUUGUCCAUUAUUUUAUUGUCCAUGAAGAUGACAAAACCUUUUCUACAUUUUUCUGGCUUCAGAACUUCUCUUACCUCUGAUUGCUUUGACUCUAAAGAUGCUAUAAUAAAAUUACUGAUUGAUAUUCAACUG